CAGCCGCCACGGUAAUACGUAGGUGGCAAGCGUUGUCCGGAAUUAUUGGGCGUAAAGCGCGCGCAGGUGGUUUAAUAAGUCUGAUGUGAAAGCCCCCGGCUCAACCGGGGAGGGUCAUUGGAAACUGGGAAACUUGAGUGCAGAAGAGGAGAGUGGAAUUCCACGUGUAGCGGUGAAAUGCGUAGAGAUGUGGAGGAACACCAGUGGCGAAGGCGACUCUCUGGUCUGUAACUGACGCUGAGGAGCGAAAGCGUGGGGAGCGAACAGGAUUAGAUACCCCGGUAGUCCCUGUCUCUUAUAC
rnacentral:rRNA from 1 species